UCCAGACUCCUACGGGAGGCAGCAGUGGGGAAUAUUGGGCAAUGGGCGCAAGCCUGACCCAGCAACGCCGCGUGAAGGAAGAAGGCUUUCGGGUUGUAAACUUCUUUUCUCAGGGACGAAGAAAGUGACGGUACCUGAGGAAUAAGCCACGGCUAACUACGUGCCAGCAGCCGCGGUAAUACGUAGGGAGCGAGCGUUGUCCGGAAUUACUGGGUGUAAAGGGAGCGUAGGCGGGAUUGCAAGUUGGAUGUGAAAACUGCGGGCUCAACCCGGAGCGUGCAUUCAAAACUGCGAUUCUUGAGUGAAGUAGAGGCAAGCGGAAUUCCUAGUGUAGCGGUGAAAUGCGUAGAUAUUAGGAGGAACACCAGUGGCGAAGGCGGCCUGCUGGACGACAACUGACGGUGAGGCGCGAAAGCGUGGGGAGCAAACAGGAUUAGAUACCCGUGUAAU
rnacentral:rRNA from 1 species